AGCAGCCGCGGUAAUUCCAGCUCCAAUAGCGUAUAUUAAAGUUGUUGCAGUUAAAAAGCUCGUAGUUGAAUUUCGGGAUCAAUAUAUCGGUCGUGCCUCUGGUUCGUACUGGUAUCAUUGAUUUCUCCUUUCUGACGAACCAUGAUUUCAUUUAUUUGGUGUCAUGGGGAGUUAGGACUGUUACUUUGAAAAAAUUAGAGUGUUUAAAGCAGGCAUUAGCUUGAAUACAUUAGCAUGGAAUAAUGAAAUAGGACGUUUGACCCUAUUUUGUUGGUUUCUAGGAUCGACGUAAUGAUUAAUAGGGAUAGUUGGGGGCAUUAGUAUUCAAUUGUCAGAGGUGAAAUUCUUGGAUUUAUUGAAGACUAACUACUGCGAAAGCAUUUGCCAAGGAUGUUUUCAUUAAUCAAGAACGAAAGUUAGGGGAUCGAAGACGAUCAGAUACCGUCGUAGUCUUAACCAUAAACUAUGCCGACUAGGGAUCGGAUGAUGUUAAUUUUAUAAUGACUCAUUCGGCGCCUUACG
rnacentral:rRNA from 1 species